UACGUAGGGUGCGAGCGUUAAUCGGAAUUACUGGGCGUAAAGCGUGCGCAGGCGGUGAGCUGUGUCCGAUGUGAAAGCCCCGGGCUUAACCUGGGAAUGGCAUUGGAAACUGGCUCGCUGGAGUGUGGCAGAGGGGGGUGGAAUUCCGCGGUGUAGCAGUGAAAUGCGUAGAGAUGCGGAGGAACACCGAUGGCGAAGGCAGCCCCCUGGCUAACACUGACGCCUCGACGGCACGAAAGCGUGG
rnacentral:rRNA from 1 species